UUUGCGGUUUCAUAAAUUUUUUAGCUCGAUGUUUUAUAUAAAAAUAAAAAUAUUUUGUGGUUACAAAAGAACCUGAGAUCAAAAAAGUAAACAAAAACUUGAGACUUUUGAGUAAAAGUAAACAUCAUUGAUUGUGGUGCGGUGCAAUAAUUUAAACUCUUUUCAAACAGAAACGCCGUAAAAGCAAAACAAAAAGAGUAAACAGACAGAUACGCUCAAAAGUUUCUUUUCUGAUCCAUUUGACAUCAAAAACUGAGAAUUUCACAAAAGGGGACGUAAAGAAAAAUAUUUAAAGUUUAAGAAAAAAAAAGCAACGUGUGUUCAAGCAAAAAAUCGCUUAAACGUCUCUUUCAAAAAAAUAAAAAAAAAUCUAUUGAACGAAUAUAUUGAAGAACUUUUUAAACACAAACACCCACACGUAACACACAGUUCACUUACAUUUUAUUAUUAUUUGUGUGUACAAAGUGAAUCCAAUAUCAAUACAAAAGUGAAAUAAGAUACACAAAAACUUGUUCUGUAAAAAUUUUUAUACCUUUAUCGGUGAAAAAAAAACUGCUUUUUUUCUGUAGAAUUGCGAAGAUCGUCACUUGUCUCGAGAGUAAAUAAUAUUAAAAGUGGAGAAAAGUAGUUUUUCUUUCGGAAAACGAGUAAAAUCCAUUGAAAAAGAGACACAUAUUGAAGCAAAAUAAAAAUAUAAAGUGAAUUUUCCUGCAGACGAGAGACUUGACGUGCUGCAAACGAUCGAAGAAGAAGCAGAAGACGAAAGACAAUUUACGCUGUUAAAUUGCACGUGACUUUCCGAGACUUUUUGGGUCAUACAAAAAUUGUUAAUGAUAUAAUUGGAGCCGAAAAAUAAAAAUAAAUCAACAAAAAUGAGUUACUCUCAAGCACGUAAUCGUCACCAUCAGCGGUACUCCAUCAAUAAUAAACAGUCAGAUGUGGAAGAUAGUCCCAUUCACUCGAGCAUGUAUGCUCAACCGUAUUUGAGUGCAAAACAUCCUCCACCGACCCAAUAUAACUUUACAAACAGCAAAAAUUUGUCUAAAACUCCAUCUUCCGAAAAUGGCUCGGAAGCAACUUUAACUGAGUCGGAGCUGGCUUUGGCACGGGACAAUACUCUUCUUGUUCAUAAAGGUAAGUG